rnacentral:rRNA from 1 species
UGGCGGCAGGCUUAACACAUGCAAGUCGAGCGCCCGUAGCAAUACGGGAGCGGCAGACGGGAGAGUAACACGUGGGAACAUGCCCUUCGGUUCGGAAUAACUCAGGGAAACUUGAGCUAAUACCGGAUACGCCCUUACGGGGAAAGAUUUAUUGCCGAAGGAUUGGCCCGCGUCCGAUUAGCUAGUUGGUGAGGUAAUGGCUCACCAAGGCGACGAUCGGUAGCUGGUCUGAGAGGAUGAUCAGCCUCAUUGGGACUGAGACACGGCCCAAACUCCUACGGGAGGCAGCAGUGGGGAAUAUUGGACAAUGGGCGCAAGCCUGAUCCAGCCAUGCCGCGUGGGUGAUGAAGGCCUUAGGGUUGUAAAGCCCUUUCGGCGGGGAAGAUAAUGACGGUACCCGCAGAAGAAGCCCCGGCUAACUUCGUGCCAGCAGCCGCGGUAAUACGAAGGGGGCUAGCGUUGCUCGGAAUCACUGGGCGUAAAGCGCACGUAGGCGGACUCUUAAGUCGGUGGUGAAAUCCUGGAGCUCAACUCCAGAACUGCCUUCGAUACUGGGAGUCUUGGAGUCCGGGAGAGGUGAGUGGAACUGCGAGUGUAGAGGUGAAAUUCGUAGAUAUUCGCAAGAACACCAGUGGCGAAGGCGGCUCACUGGCCCGGUACUGACGCUGAGGUGCGAAAG